UUUCCGUAGGUGAACCAGCGGAAGGAUCAUUACCGUACUAACAACGAGGAACAUCCUAGGACUGUCCCUGUCCUAACAUUCGUGCACGCCCGACUGUGUCCUCUUGCAUAGUAAUCCAUCCCACCCUUUGUGCACCACCGCGUGGAUACCCUUCGGGAUCCUCUCGUAGGGGGGCUAGCGAUUUAACACAAACACCACUUUUAAAAUUGUAGAAUGACCACAUUUAUGCAAUCAAUACAAGUUUCAACAACGGAUCUCUUGCCGCUCUCAUCGAUGAAA
rnacentral:misc_RNA from 1 species